rnacentral:rRNA from 1 species
GACGGACGCUGGCGGCGUGCUUAACACAUGCAAGUCGAACGACGAAGGAGAGCUUGCUCUCCGGAUUAGUGGCGAACGGGUGAGUAACACGUGACUAACCUGCCCCUUUCUCUGGGAUAACGCUCCGAAAGGAGUGCUAAUACCGGAUACGAACUCUGAACACAUGUUCGGAGUUGGAAAGUUUUUCGGAAAGGGAUGGAGUCGCGGCCUAUCAGCUUGUUGGUGAGGUAACGGCUCACCAAGGCGACGACGGGUAGCCGGCCUGAGAGGGCGACCGGCCACACUGGGACUGAGACACGGCCCAGACUCCUACGGGAGGCGGCAGUGGGGAAUAUUGCACAAUGGGCGAAAGCCUGAUGCAGCGACGCCGCGUGAGGGAUGAAGGUCUUCGGAUUGUAAACCUCUUUCAGUAGGGACGAAGCGAAAGUGACGGUACCUAAAGAAGAAGCACCGGCUAACUACGUGCCAGCCGCCGCCGUAA